rnacentral:rRNA from 1 species
UACGAAGGGGGCUAGCGUUGUUCGGAAUUACUGGGCGUAAAGCGCACGUAGGCGGGUCGUUAAGUCAGGGGUGAAAUCUUGGAGCUUAACUCCGAAACUGCAUUCGAUACUGCCGUGCUUGAGGACUGGAGAGGAGACUGGAAUUUACGGUGUAGCGGUGAAAUGCGUAGAUAUCGUAAGGAAGACCAGUGGCGAAGGCGGGUCUCUGGACAGUUCCUGACGCUGAGGCACGAAGGCCAGGGGAGCAAACGGG